GACGAACGCUGGCGGCGUGCUUAACACAUGCAAGUCGAACGGAAAGGCCCUGCUUUUGUGGGGUGCUCGAGUGGCGAACGGGUGAGUAACACGUGAGUAACCUGCCCUUGACUUUGGGAUAACUUCAGGAAACUGGGGCUAAUACCGUAUAGGAGCUCCUGCUGCAUGGUGGGGGUUGGAAAGUUUCGGCGGUUGGGGAUGGACUCGCGGCUUAUCAGCUUGUUGGUGGGGUAGUGGCUUACCAAGGCUUUGACGGGUAGCCGGCCUGAGAGGGUGACCGGCCACAUUGGGACUGAGAUACGGCCCAGACUCCUACGGGAGGCAGCAGUGGGGAAUAUUGCACAAUGGGCGGAAGCCUGAUGCAGCAACGCCGCGUGCGGGAUGACGGCCUUCGGGUUGUAAACCGCUUUCGCCUGUGACGAAGCGUGAGUGACGGUAAUGGGUAAAGAAGCACCGGCUAACCACGUG
rnacentral:rRNA from 1 species